GCUAGUCUCUGACGUGAGAUCUCGUUACCGAUCAUCUCAUAUGCCAGUCUGACCGAAGAGCAACCAGUGCAGCAGUGCAGAUGAAUAUUCUGAAAAUCAACAAACAAUAAACGAGAGAAGGUUCUGGUCCUUGGCGUCCUGGAGGCUUGAAAACAUCAGAUUUCGACAGGGGAGAGCGGAGGUGGACUGACUAAGUUGUCCUUGAGAGACUCUGCCUGAAAAGCAUCAAUGCCUGCCGACUUAGGUAUUUCCACGAUGGUUAUAUUUGCACGCACAGACUGGUAAAGUCCGGGCAAAUUGGAGCUACACCAUAACUUAUUUAUUUUCUUCCCUGUUCAAUUACGAACACAUCUAAGAUGGAGACGUUAAUCUCUCAGCUUCUCCAGCUACAUGCCUCCUGCUUGUGGGGGAAAAGGAAAGAAUGAACGGGGAGAGAAGAAUACUCAGUAAUUACAAAUAUUAAGGGAAUCUACAUUUUCUUUUUUGGCAAAUGGUAAGACUUUAUUCCCAGCCAAGUCUGGUGACAAUGUGAUAUACCCCAUCAAUAUUUAGCUGUUAAAGUAGAGGGAAGAGAUUGGAGGAAUUUCAAAGAUACUUGAAGCCACAGCAGUGUUCCUGGAAUCUAACUCCUGGUGGCGAGCGCAUCACUGAAACACAUUGGCUGUCUGAGGUUUGGCAUCUGUGCUAACAUCUUUGUGAGACAUCACAGUCGCACCUCAUGUGUCACGUGCUAGAUGGCGUUUAUUGAUCAUCGGGCCUGCAGGAAUUCAACAGAGCUUGUUAUUAGGGACAUUUUUAGCCUAUCCAAUUCUUAAAAAGGAGUGUCACAGUUCUGGCACAGAAAUACUAACCUGGUUUAAGAAAAGAGAUUAUAUUUUUUUAAACUGACCAGCAUCUUACCCAAUAAAAUAGGUUAAAAUAAAAAAAAAUCAUGAAAGGAACAUUGUAAAAGAGAAAUCCAGAAAGAACGGUGAGGGACUUGGCUUGUUUAAGUGGAGAAGGAGAUUCGAGCCGACUCACUCCACAUAGUUAUCCUCCUGUGUGUGGUUGUCUACACUGGACUGUUCCUUAAAUACUUUGGUUGUCAUCUCCAGACACUGGACUUCUUUAGAGACUCAAGGGGCAAGAGGCAGCACACCCCCCCCCCACCAAUGAAUGAGAACCUAUAUAUCAAUAUCAUGUCCAGUAGUUUUGGCAACAAGUAACAGAAAAUUGAUUCAAGCUGGCUUACACAGGGGUCAGCAAACAGCGGCUUGUAGAUUGACCAGCUGUUUGCUGGAACACGUUGACAUGUUCCCUUCUGGCAAAAGAAGGCGUUCCAGUGGCUAUGGGAUAUAAAUUUUCAAUCAGAUGGUGCCAGUUUAGAACACUUGUCCACCACUGGAGCAGGAUGGUUGCCAUAGAAAUGCACAUUUCUGACUCGUGUGGAAGCCUCUGUGAUGACGGGUGGCCUGCAGCAGCAAUGAGACCUGCAGAUGGGGGGUUGGGGGUUUGGCUCAGUGGUAGAGCGCUUACCUAGGAAGCGCAAGGUCCUGGGUUGGGUCCCCAGCUCUGGAAAAAAAAGAACUUGAUGAAAAAGAACUUGAUGAGACCUGCAGAUGGUCAGUCAGUGGAUAACUGCUUCCCGAUGACCAGACCCCAGACCCCAGGAGCCUGCAGGACUCUUCCCCAUCUUUAAACAUUUAUUUCCCUCUGUAUCUCUGAUUCACUGGGUUUUCUCUCUACCUGGUUCCUUUCACCCUCCCCCCCACACAGUGGAAAGUACAAGCACGAGCUUUUCAGACAUCGUUAGUCUUCCUGAUUGAACUCAUGUCCCCAGUCUUAUUUCCAAAUUUUUAGAGAUCACUUCUGAUCAUCCCAGUCAAGUUAGGGUCAUCCCUCAAUCAGAAGCGGGGUCUUCGAGGUCUAGGGAAAUUCUCACUAUAACCACAGGAGCAGAUUUAGUCUGCAAGAGAGAGAGAGGCAGGCGAGCCCAUGGGUAUUGGCUAAACGAAUUUACUUCUCUAUGUCAGACACAGGCCAAAUUUUUCCAUUCUAAGUAAUUAGUUGCAUGGAAAUAAUUUUUCAUCCGGGGAAAUGCAGACACAAAAAGGGUUCAUUCAGACAAGAUAUCACGUCUUUCAUAGAAGGCUGCAAAGGUAGGAAUGUGGUCUGGCAUCGCUGUCCCCCAAAUACAGUAUUAUCCUUGUCUCCAUGCUCUGAGACGGCGGCAAGUUAAGUCCACAGUUUUAGGCAGCAGAAGGAAGGGACUAAGAAAAGGCAAGAGUUACACACUAACUGUCAUUUAAGGAAAAUUCCAGAAGUUGACAUAUCCGAAUAGUGCAAGCCUAAUCUCAAAUUCUGUUCCAAAUCUAGAAAUAAUUUAAACACUGAAAUGAAACCACAACUGGAAAAUCCCACAUCGCGAAACAUUAUUUUAUGCUCCGAGUUAUUACAGGGACUCUACAAGCCUGCCUUAGGCACGGUGUAUCUGGGGGAAAAAAGGAUGAAUUUCCUGUUUAGAUGCCUCGCUCACAAAUACAAAGCCCUGGGUUCAGUCCCUCGCACCUGUAAUCCAGGAAAUGGAGACAGAAGGGUCAGAAGUUCAAAGUCAUCCUCAGCUAUAUAGUGACGUCAAGAAAAGUGAAAAGAAAAGCAAAUAUUCAAAACUCUAAAGGAAAAGAACCUGAAACCCUCAACACUUUUGGUCCCAAGCACUUUGAACAAGGGAAACUCCACCUGUCAUUCUACCUCCUGUCUCUUCAAGAGGACGACCUCUUUCUCUUUCAUGGACUUCAGUUUGCCCGUCUUAAAGAAUGAAUCCUCGUUUUUAUUACUAUAGAGCAAGAAAACAUGUACUAAGGGAUUAGUGGUGACCCUGCUGUGGGAUCAGUAGUGACUGCGUACUGGGCUUUCAUUUUCAGACUCUGCAAGACAAAACGAGCUCUUUAAAAAUUUUACAAUGUGA
rnacentral:sRNA from 1 species